GAGGGUAUAGCUCAGUGGUAGAGUGCCCGCUUAGCAUACAUUGAGGUCCUGGGUUCAAUCCCCAGCACCUCCA
rnacentral:tRNA from 1 species